UGGUUGAGCACAGAGGUUUAUUAAGGGUUCAGACGGUGAGGGGAACAGUGGAAUCAGGUUUCAGGAUAAGCUUUCAGGAAAAACGACUCCAGAAAACUCCCCAGGUUCCUGCCGUGGCUGGGAGCCACCAGUCCAGAACAUUCCGCUCCCAGCGCGGUCUGCAGCCUACCCCCCCCGCCCCCAUCCCCAGGAUCCAAGUCUCCCGCAGACACUUGGAGAAGUUGCUGCUCCGGAGCCAGGAGCCGGGGGGUGCUGGGGGUACGCAGGAGGGCAGGCCAGCAGGGGCAGGCGGCACACAGCGCCCACCCGGGAGCCCGCCCCCUCUGCUGCCCAGAGUGCCCAGGAGGCCGGCUCUAUGCUCCUGCCCAGCCUAUGCAGAGGCCCAGCGUUCUGCUGACCAUGCAGGAGGACCAUCCAAGGCAGCCAGCCCCACGUGGCCCCUGUCUGAUGGGGGCUCUGCACCACGCAUUUCUCAGACCCCGUGUGAAUGCGACCAGCGCAGGAGCUCCAGCCCGUCCUCAUCCCUCCACUCGGCCCCAUCUCCUGCCUGCAGCAACUUUCCAUUGAGAAAAACACACCCAGUCUCACGUCCAGUUUAAAAUCGUCCACUCUCCCUGCAGGUGGGCUGGGCGACUGGGGCCCCAUGGUGGGGGCGCCCCUGGUUCCUGCAUCAGGGCUCUUCCAGGAGAAGCUGCCGCGGCUCCCUCCCAGCCCAGCCUCGAGGCCGUCCUGCCGCCUGCCGCCAGGGCGGACCUGGGUGUCCGUACACCUGCUCAGCCCCCACCGCUGGACCACCCGAGGGCGGGAUGGCCUGGUCCUCUGGUGGGACUCUGGGGGCCCUAGAGUCCAGAAGGGAAGGGCGGGUGUCGGGAGGCUCUGAGUGGGGGCAUCCCCUCCCAGGGUGGCGGGUGGGGCUCUGGUUUCCAGGGGAACCAUCAUGAUGAGGGUGGGGCAGAGAGAGCAGGAAAUCUCACCCCAGCCCAGCCAGAGCAGUGGCCCCACAAGCCCCCCACUGCCCCUCCCCUCUGACCCCUCUAGAAGCAAGACCCCUCGAUUCCCACGGGUGGAGGAGCCUGGCUGGGCGGCUCUGGGGCCAGUCUGUCCACACCACCCUCUGCCCCAAGGAGGAAUCUCAGUGCCAUCCCACCGCGACCCCCAGACUGGGGUAGCACUACCUCCCCUGGCUAGAGGGGCUUGGCAGGGGGCGUCCAGCGGGCCAGGGGCGCGUAGCUCCCUGCGGCCCCUUACCCGGAUCGUAGUGACAGUCAGGGGACUCCCGGGUCCCACAAAGGCUAUCACCCCACUGUGCCCGACUGAGGCACCUCUUUGUCACGGAAAGGAGAGGGAACGGGGGUGGGGGGGAGGGGCUGGGGGGUGGGGGGAGAAAAGGAGGGAGGGGUGGGCUGCACCCCAGGAGGCUCCAGGGUUGGGCGCUCCCAUGGGCAGAAAGGAGCUUCCGGGCCCUGGUCUCUGCAGGGAGGCACCUUCUCCCAGGAGACUCCGCCAGAAAGGCCAGGGGGUCCCGGCGGCCCCGACUCUGGACUCGGGAUGAGGAGAGGGCCCUUCCCGUGUGCCGGGCUGCUAAGCCGCUUCCUCCUCCCAGCAGGAAGGCACACACCAAGGGCAGGAGGGCUGGCGCCCCUGCUCUGGGCUGAUGCUGGGUUAGAGUAAGGGCAGGGUUCCCUGGGGGCAGGGUAAGGCCCCGGGGGCAGGGCUGCAGCAGGGACACUGACACCUGCCCUCUCCCUCCAGGCCUCCAUCGGCUCUCGCCCCACCCCGGUCCCACCCACAGGGCAAAACGCUCUUCCUGCUGUGCGCGCCCAGGGGGAUGGGGCGGCAGAGCGGGCUCCCCCGAGAGCCCGUGUCCCGCUGGCCAGCCAGCAGCCACACUUACCUGGUUCACAUGGGUUUGGCCCAGGCUGGCUGCUUGGUUUUAGCUCCCACUGGAAAGGCGGGUGGGCGGGCCGUCAAUUUCCCCGAGGACCGGCCUCACUGGGUGCACCGUCUGAGCCCUGCUUCCCACCCCUCACCCCUGGUCUGGGGGGCAGGCAGAGAAGCACAGAGCCCCCGUCCACACGGUGCAUGCUAUGCACACCAGCACCCUGGGACCACAGGCGUGGGAGGGUGCUGGAACCUGUCGGUCCUUUCUCCUAUAACUGCAAACGCAUGACCUUGUCCGGACGUGCCUUUCGGGUCUGGCUGCAGCUGCUGGUCCUGAGGCUACACACACCGCGUCUCUGCAUCAGCGCGGAAGUGUGCUUCCCACUGCAAAGCCACAGGGCAUCUUCCAAGUACGAGCCUCCCUCCACCUUCAUCCUUUCUAAGCAUCUGCUCCAGGAGGCUUCCGUCCUUUAUCCCUUAGCUCCGUAAGCCACGUACCCCUAACUUGCUUCCCCCCCAGUAUAUCUGAAGUCGUUUAAAAUAUAAACACGCAUACAAAAGACCGUAAAAAAAUAAAAUCGGAAAGACGCUAUCAGGGUUGUCCCGGCGGAGGUGAGGUCUACCCUGAACACCAAGUAGGUAAGAAAAUGAGCAGUAAAGUAGCUCUGAGGUUCCUGGCAGCAAAGCUGGAAAGGAGAGAGAGAGAGUUCUUGUCGCUGGAGGCAGGAAGGAAGCAUCCGCUGAGCAGCCUUGUACCGUCUGGCGUCGGUCCCCCUGUCCUUCGCAAAGGAGCUGCUUCCGUGAGUUGAAAAGCAAAGGCACGUAGCGACCCGUGACAACGGGCUCCCGGGAGCGGGGCGCAGCCUGAGAGGCCGGAACCGGGGCAGGGCCUCGCAUGUCUGGCUGCUGGCACUGCCCCCUUGAUGAGCCCUGCUGGAACUUUCUCACGUUUCUCUCCACGGCUGUUUUUUCGGGGGUGGGGGUGGGGUUGGUUUCCUUCUCCCUGGACUGAAGUUUUGGUACAAGCGUGACUCUGAACAAACAUUCUGAGAAUAAACAAAGUUGUCCAAAGGUUGCACGUUGCAGUUCCCUCCCGAGAAAACACCCGGUCUCUCGGCGUCUGCCCUGGAGGGAGUCCUGUGGCCGAGGGUGCUCAGGAGAUGCUGGGGAGGCGACGGCGGCCAGUCUGCAGUGGAGACCACCUGUGCCUUCGACCGACAACAGGCGCCUGUCCUCCUGGGGCAGCCCCACUCGAGGGCACCCACCCUUCCUGCUCUGAACGCUAGUCCACCCUGGGGCGCCCCGUGGGACAGGCUCCCUGAGCGGAAGGGACACGAGCAUCGUGACAGACGGCUUGGUCUACUGUUCCAGCUGCUCAUUUCCUGGCCGUUUCUCUCCACGGCUCGGUCUCCUCGGUCUCCUCCUCCGUCAGCACAUCUGAUGGCAGAGCUGCCGGACCCGAAGGGCGCUGCAGCCACGAGAAGUCCUCGGAGACGUGCCCUGUAAGAGUGAAGCACCGCCCGGAAGAGGCCCCGUCACCACCUCGCUGGGGGGGGGCGGCCAAGCGAGACUCAGUCGCCGUGGGCUACAGCAGGGGCGGCCGAGACGUGGGCCGCAGCCCGCCUGAGCCGGCAGGCACUAGGGGGCAGGGCUGACGGGGUCCUUGGACACAGGGGUGCUGGGCAGGGACUUCAGGUACUCCAGGUGCCUCCUGGCGUCCUCCUGGUUCUGGCGCACGUAGUACACCACGUAGGUGAUCACCAUGGCGAACCAGCCAAACAUGGUGACCAGCAUGGCCACGUCGGUGGUCUUGUGGUGGACGCUGCAGAAGCUGACGCCGGCGUCGAGCGCCUGGAUCAGCGGCUUCCCCACGUACUCCUCCUGCACGGAGGUGUGGCAGGCGAUCUCGUCCACCGAGUCGGGGUCGAGCUUCAGCUCCCACAGGGCCUCCUGCAGGGCGCACUCGCAGUGCAGGGGGUUGUGGGACAGGCGGAUCUUGGCGCUGAGCUUGCCCAGCGCGUCCUUGGGAAUCCUCCGGAUGCGGUUGUGGGACAGGUCCAGCAGCCGCAGGCCCCCGGCCAGGCCCGAGAAGGCGGCGGGGCCGAUGGUCUCGAUGGCGUUCUGAGACAGGUCCAGCUCUCUCAGGUGGCUCAGGUGCUGGAAGGCUCCGUUGGGGAUGCGGGCGAUCUUGUUGGCAUCGAGCUUCAGGAGCACCGUGUCCAGGGGGAUGUCUUUGGGGAUCUCCUGCAGGCCCCUCGCGCUGCAGUGGACGGCCACGGCCCCGGCGUGGUCGGGGC
rnacentral:lncRNA from 1 species